GGCAGAGUGCCAGAGUGGUUAAUGGGAUUGACUCGAAAGUAUCAGAUUCGUUUGAUCACCUAGUAAUCAAUUGUCUUCGGACGCACAGGUUCGAAUCCUGUCUCUGUCG